GCGAGGUGAGGCAAAGGCGAGGCGAGGCGAGGCGUCUCGAGGCAAAGGCGAGGCAAGGCAUGGCAAGGUGAGGUGAGUUGAGGCAUGGCGAGCCAAGGCGAGGCGAGGCGAGGCAAGGAGAGGUGGAAUGGGCUGAGGCGAGGCGAGGUGAGACGAGGCAAGGCAAUGGCGAGGCGAGGUGAGGCGUGACGAGGUGAGGCGAGGCAAAGGCAAGGCAAGGCAAGGUGAGCCGUGGCGAGGCGAGGCAAGGCGAGGCUGGGCGGGGUGGGGCGGGGCGAGAGAAAUUUUGGAUAAAUGGGGGAUUUUGCGAGAGAAAAUGCAUGAUUUUGGGUUAAAUGGGGGAUAUUUCUGGUGAAAAUGUGUAAAUUUUGGGUUAAAUGGUGAUUUUUGAGGAAAAAAUGUGUGAUUUUCAGGCUUAAUGGGGGAUUCUCGAAGAGAAUAUAUGAGGUAUUUGGGUUACAUUGGAGAUUUUUGUGGUGAAAAUAUGUGAUUUUCAUUUAAAUAAGGUAUUUUCCAGAUAAAAUGGGUGUUUUUCAGGGUAAAUGGGGUUUUUCCUAGAGAAAAUGCUGAUUUUCAGUUAGAUGGCAGAUUCUUGAAGAGAAAAUGUGUAAUUUGGGGGUAAAAUGGGGGAUUUUCGAAGAGAAACUGUGUGACUUUUGGUUGAAAGGGUUUUUUUUAUGGUGAAAUGCGUGACUUUUGGGAUAAAUGGGGGAUUUUCGAAGAAAAAAUGCAUGAUUUUUGGGUUCUAUCAGGGAUUUUUGUAGCAAAAAAAUGUGUAGUUUUUGCUUGCUUAAAUUGGGGAUUUUCAGAGAGAAAAUGUGUGAUUUUCAGAUUAAAUGGGGGAUUCUUGUAGGGAAAAUGUGCAUUUUUUGGUUAAAUGGGGGAUUUUUUGAAGAGACAAUGCAUGAUUUUUGAGAUAGGGGAUUUUCAUGGUGAAAAUCAUGGUGAUUUUCAAAUAAAUAGGUGAUUUUCCAAGAAAAAACAGGUGAUUUUUGGGCUAAGUGGGGGAUUUUUUAAGAGAAAAUGUGUGAUUUUCAGUUUAAAUGUUUGCGUUUCGAAGAGAAAAUGCAUGAUUUUCGUUUAAAUGGGAUAUUUUUGAUGAAAGUGUGAUUUUUGGGUUCACUGGGGGGUUUUGGCAGGGCAAAUGUGUGAUUUUUGGGUCAAAUGGGGGAUUUUUGAAAAGAAAACAUGUGAUUUUUAGUUACAUGGGGGAGUUUCCAUGAGAAAAUGCAUGAUUUAUGAUUAAAUGUGGCAUUUUCCAAGAGAAAAAUUAUUUCGGGUUAGAUGGAUUAUUUUGGGGGUGAAAAUGCGUGAUCUUCCGGUUACAUGAGGGAUUUUUCCAGAGAAAAUGCAUGAUUUUCAGGUUAAAUGAGGGAUAUUAGGGUUGAAAAUGCGUGAUUUUCGAGUUAAAUGUGGGACCUUUGAAGAGUAAAUACGUGACGUUUGGUUCAACUGGGGGUUUUCAAAGAGAAAAGUAUGUGACUUGGGGGUUAAAUGGGGUAUUUUUGGAGAGAAAAUGCAUGAGUUUUGGGUUAAAUGGGGGACUUUUGUGGUGAAAAUGCGUGACUUUUGGUUAAAUGGGGGGUAUUUGUGGUGAAAAUCAGUGAUUUAGGGGUUAAAUGGGGAUUUUUGAAGGAAAAAAAUGUGUGAUUUUUGGGUUUAAUGGGGGAUUCUCACAGAGAAUAAGCGAGAUUUUGGGGUUAAAUGGGGGAUUUUCGGUGCAAAAAUGCUUGAUUUUAGUUUAAAUGGGGGAUGUUCCAAGAGAAAAUGGGAAAUUUUUAGGGUAAAUGUGGGCAUGGCUUUGCCUGGCCUUGCCUUGCCUGGCUUUGCCUGCCCUUGCUUGGCCUUGCCUGGCCUGGCCAUGCCUGGCCUGACCUUGCCUUGCCUUGCGUGGCCUUGCCUUGCCUGGCUCUAACUGGCCUGGCCUUGCCUUGCCUUGCGUGGCCUUGCCUGGCCUGGUUUUGCCUGGCAUUUUCUGGCAUGGCCGGGCCUUGUCCUGCCAGGCCUUGCCUAUCCUUGCCUUUCAUAGGCUGAUCUUGCCUUGCCUUUCAUAGGCUGACCUUGCCUGGCCUUGCCUGCCCUGGCCUGGCUUUGCCUGGCCUUUCCCUCCCUUGCCUUGCAUUGCCUUGCCUGGCCUUUCAUGGCCUGCCAUUUCCUUGCCUGGCCUUGCCUGGCCUGGCCCU
ensembl:lncRNA